UUUAUACUCUACACUUAAAUCCUGAAUAAGCAAGAAAUCUACGAAAAAAUUUCAAAAAAUCUACAAAGUUUAAAAUGGAUAUUCUAUACGAUGUUCACAAUUUGUUCAAUGAGAAAAUUCCAAGGUUAGAUAGAGGGAUUCUACCUUUCGGCUUAUUCAUUGUUUGGACUUUAGUUAUAGGAACAAGAUUUGCCUCAGAGGUUUAUCAGACCUGGAGAGGGUUUGCUUGGGUGAAGGAAUGGAGGAUGAAUAUCUCUGGAAAGCUAAAAAAAUAGAGAAUCAGAGAGUAGCUGUGCGAUGAUAAUAAUAACUGAUGUAUAUAUCAAUAAUCAAAGCCCGUUGUUUCAUAAAUAUCUUAAAUAUUUU